GGGCAAUGAGCACCUGGCACCCAGCAUCCAUGCCACCACGACGCACUUUAACAGAGUGGUCGAAUGUGUCAUCACCACCUGCAUUGGGGACCCGAGCAUGACGGCCCAGGACAGGGCCAGGGUGGUGGAGCUCUGGAUCCAGGUGGCCAAGGAAUGCCAGGGCCUGAGGAACCUUUCCUCUCUCCAUGCGAUCCUCUGGGCUCUGCAGGGCCCCUCCAUUCAACGUUUAAAAGAGAUGUGGAGACAGGUGUCCAGGAAGAACUGUCAAAUGCUUAAAAAC